CCUACGGGUGGCAGCAGUGAGGGAUAUUGGUCAAUGGACGGAAGUCUGAACCAGCCAUGCCGCGUGCAUGAUGACGUCUCUAUGAGUUUUAAACUGCGUUUGUACGAGAAUAAUAGUUCUUACGUGUUGGGAUUUGAAUGUAUCGUACGAAUAAGGAUCGGCUAACUCCGUUCCAGCAGCCGCGGUAAUACGGCGGAUUCGAGCGUUAUCCGGAUUUUUUGGGUGUAAAGGGUGCGUAGGCUGUCCGAUAAGUUCGAGGUCAAAUGUCGGGGCUUAACCCCGUGACUGCCGCUGAGACUGUUCGACUAGAGAGCGGAUGCAGCAGGCGGAAUGAGUAGUGUAGCGGUGAAAUGCUUAGAUAUUACUCAGAACACCGAUUGCGCAGGCAGCUUGCUAAUCCGCAUCUGACGCUGAUGCACGAAAGCGUGGGUAGCGAACAGGAUUAGAUACCCUAGUAGUC
rnacentral:rRNA from 1 species